rnacentral:rRNA from 1 species
CGGGGGGGGGCGGGCCUACACAUGCAAGUCGAACGGUAGCAGGAUGUGCUUGCACAUCGCUGACGAGUGGCGGACGGGUGAGUAAUGCUUGGGAACUUGCCUUUGCGAGGGGGAUAACAGUUGGAAACGACUGCUAAUACCGCAUAAUGUCUUCGGACCAAACGGGGCUUAGGCUCCGGCGCAAAGAGAGGCCCAAGUGAGAUUAGCUAGUUGGUGAGGUAAAGGCUCACCAAGGCGACGAUCUCUAGCUGUUCUGAGAGGAAGAUCAGCCACACUGGGACUGAGACACGGCCCAGACUCCUACGGGAGGCAGCAGUGGGGAAUAUUGCACAAUGGGGGAAACCCUGAUGCAGCCAUGCCGCGUGUGUGAAGAAGGCCUUCGGGUUGUAAAGCACUUUCAGUUGUGAGGAAAGGUUGGUAGUUAAUACCUGCCAGCUGUGACGUUAACAACAGAAGAAGCACCGGCUAACUCCGUGCCAGCAGCCGCGGUAAU